rnacentral:rRNA from 1 species
UUGACCNUGCGAAGGUAGAAUAAUCAUUGCCUUUUAAAUGGAGGCUGGUAUGAAUGGCAAGACGAGAAUCAGACUGUCUCCCUUUUAAUACUCCCUAAAUUCAUGUCCUUGUGAAGAAGCGAGGAUAGAGUCGUAGGACGAGAAGACCCUNUCGAGUUUUAGUAUAGGUCNUAAAUGUUAAAAAGUGGUAACAAAUCUGAUUAAGAUAAUCGAAUAUAUUAAUAAUUCCAUUUUGANGAAUCACAUAAGUUAUAAGACUUAAUACUUUAAUUGGGGCAANNGCGGAGAAAAAAAAUCCUCCGCUAUUUNUUAAAAAUAAAAAUUACUAUUUUACAAUAUAAAUUNUA